rnacentral:rRNA from 1 species
UACAGAGGGUGCAAGCAUUAAUCGGAUUUAUUGGGCGUAAAGGGCGCGUAGGCGGGAACAUAAGUCGGAUGUGAAAUCCCAGGGCUCAACCCUGGAACAGCAUUUGAUACCGUGUUUCUAGAGGGUAGGCGGAGAAAAUGGAAUUCCACAAGUAGCGGUGAAAUGCGUAGAUAUGUGGAAGAACACCGGUGGCGAAGGCGAUUUUCUAGCUUAUACCUGACGCUGAGGCGCGAAAGCAAGGGGAUCAAACAGG